UUUGUUUCACUUAGGCAUAUAUUCAGUUUUAUAAAGUGGUAAUCGCUUUGCAUUGGAGUGUUACCACAAUCGUGUAAUCGAGUCUGUGAUAGAGUCAGUAAUCGAGUUUGGAGCACUUUGGAAGGAAGUUAAUCAUUCCGCCAUUUUCAUUUCCGCAUUGCAAUUUAUUCAACCCUCCGAUUGGAGUAGGUUUUUAUUACUUGUCUUUAUCUUAUUUAUUUUCCG
rnacentral:lncRNA from 1 species